GACGAACGCUGGCGGCGUGCUUAACACAUGCAAGUCGAACGGAAAGGCCCUGCUUUUGUGGGGUGCUCGAGUGGCGAAAGGGGGAGUAACACGUGAGUAACCUGCCCUUGACUUUGGGAUAACUUCAGGAAACUGGGGCUAAUACCGGAUAGGAGCUCCUGCUGCAUGGUGGGGGGUGGGAAGUUUCGGCGGUUGGGGAUGGACUCGCGGCUUAUCAGCUUGUUGGUGGGGUAGUGGCUUACCAAGGCUUUGACGGGUAGCCGGCCUGAGAGGGUGACCGGCCACAUUGGGACUGAGAUACGGCCCAGACUCCUACGGGAGGCAGCAGUGGGGAAUAUUGCACAAUGGGCGGAAGCCUGAUGCAGCAACGCCGCGUGCGGGAUGACGGCCUUCGGGUUGUAAACCGCUUUCGCCUGUGACGAAGCGUGAGUGACGGUAAUGGGUAAAGAAGCACCGGCUAACUACGUG
rnacentral:rRNA from 1 species